UACGAAGGGUGCAAGCGUUACUCGGAAUUAUUGGGCGUAAAGGGCGCGUAGGCGGCGCGGUAAGUCACCUGUGAAAUCUCCCGGCUCAACUGGGAGUCUGCAGGCGAAACUGCCGUGCUGGAGUGUGGGAGAGGUGCGUGGAAUUCCCGGUGUAGCGGUGAAAUGCGUAGAGAUCGGGAGGAACACCAGAGGCGAAGGCGGCGACCUGGACAGUUACUGACACUCAACUACGAAAGCGUGGGGAGCAAACAGG
rnacentral:rRNA from 1 species